GACGAACGCUGGCGGCGUGCCUAAUACAUGCAAGUCGAGCGAUCAGACGAGGUGCUUGCUCCACUUACGUUAGCGGCGGACGGGUGAGUAACACGUGGAUAACCUACCUAUAAGACUGGGAUAACUUCGGGAAACCGGUGCUAAUACCGGAUAACAUCUUGAACCGCACGGUUCAAUAGUGAAAGACGCUUUUGCUGCCCUCUAUGGUUAGCCCGCCGUCGCUUAAGUAAGUUGGUAAGUUAACGGCUUACCAGGGCAACAAUGCGAACCGGACUGGGGAGGGGGUCGGGCAACACGGGACCUGGGACACGGUCCAGACUCCUACGGAAGGCGGAGGUAGGGGACCUUCGCAAAAGGGCGAAGGCCGGACGAGGCAACGCGGCGGGGGGGAUGAAGGUCUUCGAAUCGAAAAACCCGGUUAUUAGGGAGGAACAAAUGGGUAAGUAACUACGCACGUCGUGACGGUACCUAAUCAGAAAGCCACGGCUAACUACGUG
rnacentral:rRNA from 1 species